rnacentral:rRNA from 1 species
CCUACGGGGGGCAGCAGUGAGGAAUAUUGGUCAAUGGGCGGAAGCCUGAACCAGCCAAGUAGCGUGCAGGACGACGGCCCUAUGGGUUGUAAACUGCUUUUAUGCGGGGAUAAAGUGAGGGACGUGUCCCUUUUUGCAGGUACCGCAUGAAUAAGGACCGGCUAAUUCCGUGCCAGCAGCCGCGGUAAUACGGAAGGUCCGGGCGUUAUCCGGAUUUAUUGGGUUUAAAGGGAGCGUAGGCCGGGGAUUAAGUGUGUUGUGAAAUGUAGGCGCCCAACGUCUGAUGUGCAGCGCAUACUGGUUCCCUUGAGUACGCGCAACGCCGGCGGAAUUCGUCGUGUAGCGGUGAAAUGCUUAGAUAUGACGAAGAACCCCGAUUGCGAAGGCAGCCGGCGGGAGCGCAACUGACGCUGAAGCUCGAAGGUGCGGGUAUCGAACAGGAUUAGAUACCCGAGUAGUC